rnacentral:lncRNA from 1 species
CGGCAACCCCUAUCUCCUGCGUUCAAGCGAUUCUCCUGCCUCAGCCCCCUGAGUAGCUCCUCAGUACAGGCGGGUGCCUCCAUGCCCGGCUAAUUUGUUGUAUUUUUAGUAGAGACAGGGUUUUGCCAUGUUGGCAAGGCUGGUCUUAAACUCCUGACCUUAGGUGAUCCACCCACCUCGGCCUCCCAAAGUGCUGGAAUUACAGGCGUGAGCCACUGCACCUGGCCUCAAUGUCGUCGUCUUCUCCUUUUCCUUCUCCUUCUUCUUCAUUUUUUCUUUUUUUUUUUCUUUUUUCUAGAUACAGAGUCUCGCUCGAUCACCCAGGCUGGAGUGGAGUGGCGCCAUCUUGGCUCACUGCAAGCUCCGCCUCCCGCGUUCUCGCCAUUUUCCUGCCUCAGUCUCCGGAGUAGCUGGGACUACAGGCGCCCGCCACCACGCCUGGCUAAUUUUUUUGUUUUUUUAGUAGAAACGGGGUUUCACCGUGUUAGCCAGAAUGGUCUCGAUCUCCUGACCUCGUGAUCCACCUCAGCUUCCCAAAGUGCUGGGAUUACAGGCAUGAGCCACCGAAACCGGAUGAUGCCUCCUUCUUAAUUUCCAGUCUUGUUGGCUAAUAUCAGGGACAUAGAUGAAGCUGGGAGCCAUCAUACUCAGCAAACUAACACAGGAAUAGAAAACCAAACACCGCGUGUUCUCACUCAUAAGUGGGAGUUGAACAAUGAGAACACAUGGACACAGAUUUGCUGUCUGGAGAGAUAUAUGAAAUUUAAAGAUGGCAAUCCAUUCCCUUCCCAUCAUGCUUCUUUUUCUACAGACCCGGAGUUUCUGUCCAUGUCCAAUGCAUUCAAGAUUCUUCUGCAAAUCUGAACAGUCAAAGCCUGAAGUACAUGGAGGAAAGAAGAAAUCCAUUUGAAUGGAAGAAGCAUUCCAAGUGACAGAAUGUAUCAGAACAUUUAAAGACGAAAGAAGGACAUCAUUUUGAAUCAUGAGGCCUACUGGAAAAAUAAACAACAAAAAACAAGCAAGCAAAAUACAGUGGAGAGAGCUGAUAGAGCAGUAGAAAGUCUCCUGGAAUAUCCCCACAGGCUGCUGGUGUCUGUAAAUCACUGGAGGUUACCAGGGAAGAAAGGACCUGCAGCCUUGAACAAAGACGGAUUUAGAAAUAUGUUCAGCAAUACCAGUGAAUAGUACAGGAGAAUCUAGGAUAAAGGAAACAGACUGGAAAAUAAACCAUCCUAGAAAGAAAAGUUCAGAGAAUGAGAACCCCUGGACUGUCUCAAAAAAAAGAAAAAAGAAAAAAACAGAAACGCGACAUGCUCUAAAAAGGAAUAUUUAACCUGGAUUAAUUCAUAAAAUAAUAGGAGAAAAUUUUUGCAGCCAGAAUACUAUGAAUUUGAGUUGGUUGAAGAACAACCUCAUCUUUUAAAGCAGAGAAGUUUUCUCAGAUAUGUUUUCCAGAAUGCCAAAUCAUGAAAUUGUACAACAUGUGGUCUUUUUCUUCUGAGCCCCAAAAUGUAAAGAACUUUCCGGAAGAAGAAGAAAUGGGGCAGAAGAAGAAGUCAGAGAGAUUUGAGCACCAGAAGGACUUGACAUGCUAUUGCUGGUUUGAAGAUGAAGAGGGCAAUAUAACAGCAAUGCAGCUCUGGCAUUAAGUGCUGAGAGAGGCUCCCUGCUGACAGACAGCAAGGAAAUAAAGACCACAGUCCCACUGCCACAAGAAACUGAUUUCUGCAAACAACAUGGAACAGCUUAGAUGAAAUUUCUCCCCAGAUAAUAACCCAGGUGAGCCAAUACAUUAAUUUUGGCCAUGUAAAACCUACAGAAGAGGAACCAGUGAAAUUUACUCUGAUUUCUGUCCUACAGAACUUAAUGUGAAUGGCUUUAAGCCACUACAUUUAUAGUAUUUUGUUACAGCAGUGACAGAAAACUAGUGUAACAUAUAAACACAAAGAAGGGAAAUAAUGAUAUCUGUAUAAAUAAUUAAAAUAUAAAAAUUGACCAAGAUGGCCAACUAGACACAGCCAGGAAGAGCAUCUACCACUGUGAGAAAAUACCUUCAAUAAACCAGCACACUCUGUGCAGAUCUUUGGAGGGAAGGCAUUGAGAGCAGACAGAGGGAGGAUGCAGACCCUAGGCUGAAGGGGGAGAAAAGCUGGGAACCCUGCAUAGGGUUGCCAAGCACCAGGACUCAUUCCCGGCCCCCAGUGGCUCCUAGGGAAGGGUUGAGUUAAAUAGUCAAGGAAUGGCCCACUGUUACCACAGAGCUCCAGAAUUCUAGCUGCAAGAGACCCCUCAAUCCUCAUGGACAUUUGAGCUGGCAGGGAAAGAUGCUUAGAGAGGUGGCAGAGACAGAACUCAGGCUGUGUGAAUUUGGACAGAGCAGAGCUUUCUUGCCUGUGAGAUUGUGCCAGUCUGUUCUGAGUGACCCCAGUCUGUAUGCCUCUCCCUAGUUCCUAGCUGGGUGUGCUCACUUGCAGCUCAGCCUCAGAUGCCCAGUUAGGGUGCUUUCCAGCUGCUACUACCAUAGCUCAUUCACUGACUGAUCCCCAACUAACUGCUGGAAAGGUUCAUGCCCCCCUAGCAUGAACUUGACCCAAGACAUAGUCAUCAGAUUCUCCAAGGUCAACACAAAAGAAAAACUAUUAAAGGAUGCUAGAGAGAAGGGGCAGGUUAUCUACAAACCUUAUUAGGCUAACAGAAGACCUUUUAGCAUAAACCCUGCAAGUCAGAAGAGAUUGAGGAUCUACAUUCAGCAUUCUUAAAGAAAAUAAAUUCCAACUAUGAAUUUCAUUUCCAGCUAAGCUAAGCUUCAGAAGCAAAAUAUAAAUAAAAUUCUUUUCAGUGCAGGAAAUGCUAGGGGAAUUUGUUACCAAUAGACCUACCUUACAAAAGGUGAUUCAGGAAGUGCUAAACAUGGAAAUGAAAGGCCAUUAUCGGCCAUCACAAAAACACACUUAAGUACACAGACCAUUGACACUACAAAGCAACUACACAAUCAGGUCUACAUAAUAAUCAGCUAACAACACAAUGACAGGAUCAAAUUUUCACAUAUCAAUAUUAACCUUGAAAAUAAAGGUGCUAACUGCCCCUAAUUAAAAGACACAAGGUAGCAAGCUGGAUAAAGAAGCAAAUCCAACUGUGUGCUGUCUUCAAGAGACCUAUUUCACAUGCAAUGAUGUCUACAGGCUCAAAGUAAAGGGAUGGAGAAAAAUCUACCAAACACACAGAAAACAAAAACAAACAAAAAAAGAAGGGAAUGCCAUUGUUAUUAAAGACAAAACAGACUUUAAACCAACAAUGAUCCAAAAAUACAAAAAAGAACAUUAUAUAAUGAUAAAGGUUAAAUUCAACAAGAAGACUUAACUAUCCUAAAUAUAUUUGCAGUCAACAUUGAAGCACCAAGAUUCAUUAAAAGCAUUUUAGAGACUUAAGAAGAAGCUUAGCUAAUUACACAAUAAUAGUUGGACACUUCAACACCCCACUGACAGUAUUAGACAAAUCAAAAAGGAAGAAUAAUAACAAAGACAUUCAGGAUGUAAAGUUAACAGUUGACCAAAUGGACCUAACAGACAGCUACAGCUAUAGAACCUAACAGACAGCUACAAGAAAGAUAAAAUAUACAUUCUUCUGACCUGCAGAUGGCAAAUAUUAUAAAUCAAACACAUACUCAGACAUAAAGCAAUUGUUAACAAAAUUAAAAAAAAAAAACAAAUCAUACCAAAUACAUGCUUGGACCACAGUGCAGUAAAAAUAAAAAUCUGUACUAGAAGAUCUCUCAAAAACAUAAAAUUACAUGGAAAGUAAGCAACCUGUUUCUGCAUUACUUUUGAGUAAACAAUAAAAUUAAGGCUGAAAUCAAAACAUUAUUUGAAACUAAUAAGAAGAAAGAUAGAACCUACCAGAAUCUCUCGUACACAACUAAAGUGGUGCUAAAAGUGAAGUUUUUUGGUGCUAAUUGCCUGUAUCAAAAAGUUAGAAAGCUCUCAACAACCUAGCACCAUACCUAGAGGAGCCAGAAAACCAAGAGCAAAUCAGUCCUACAGCUGGCAGAAGAAAAGAAAUAACCAAAAUCAGAGCUGAACUGAACAAAAUUCAGAUACAAAAAAUCAUACAAAAGAUCAACAAAAUCAAAAGUUAGUUUUUUAAGAUCGACAGACCACUAGCUAGAUUAAUUAAAAAAAAAGAGAGAGAAGAUCCAAAUGAAUACAAUCAGAAGUGACGAACGAGACAUGAUCACUACCCCCACAGAAAUACAAAAAUCCCUUAGACACUAUUACAAAUAUUCCCAUGCACACAAACAAUAAUCCUAAAAGAAAUGGACAAACCCCUAGAAACAUACAACCUCCCAAGUUUGACCCGGAAAACAAUUGAAAUCCUAAAAAGACAAAUAAUGAGUUCCCAAAUUGCAUCAGCAAUUAAAAAAAAAAAAAAACUUACCAACAAGAAAACACUAGACCAGAUAGAUUCAUAGCAGGUUCAAGUUCUACCAGAUAUGUAGAGGAGAGAUGAGACCAAUCCUAUUGAAAAUAUUACAAAAAAUUGAGGAGGAGGGAUUCUUCCUCAUUUUAUGAGGCCAGCAUCAUCGUAAUACCAAAACCUGGCAGAGACACAACUAAAAAAGAAAAUUUCAAGCAAAUAUUCCUGAUGCAUGCAAACGUUGUCAACAAAAUACUAGCAAAUUGAAUCCAGUUCCACACCAAAAAGCUAAUCCACCAUGAUCAAAUAGGCUUUACUCCUGGGAUGGAAGCAUCCUUUGUGUUCAACAUAUGCAAAUUAAUAAACGUGAUUCAUUACAUAAAUAAAACUAAAAGCAAAAACCACAUGAUAUCUCAAUAGAAGCAGAAAAGGCUUUGAUAAAAGUCCAUACCCCUUCUUGUUAAAAAAAAAAAAAGCCCUCAACAAACUAGGCAUUGAAGGAAUAUACCUCAAAAUAAUAGGAGCCAUCUAUAACAAAUUCAUAGCAAACAUCAUAUGGAACAGGCAAAAGCUGGCAGCAUUCCCCUUGAGAAACAGAACAACACAAGGUAGCCCACUUUCCCCACUCCUAUUUAACACAGUAUUGGAAAUCCCAACCAGAGAAAUCAGACAAGAUAAAAGAAAUAAAAGGCAUCCAAAUAGGAAGAGAGGAAGUCAAACUCUCUCUCUUUCAAGAUGAUAUGAUUUCAUACCUAGAAAACCCCAUACUCUCGGCCCAAAGCCUCAUAGAUAUGAUAAAUAACUGCAGUGAAGUUUCAAGGUACAAAAUCAGUUUUCAAAAAUCAGUAGCAUUUCUACACACCAAUAACAUCCAAGCUGAGAGCCAUAUCAAGAAUGCAAUCCCAUUCAUAAGAGCCACAAAAAUAACAAAAUAACUAGAAAUACAGCUAACCAGAGAGGUAAAAAAUCUCUACAAGAAUAAUUACAAAACAGUGCUGAAAGCAGGCAGAGACAACACCAUCAAAUAGAAAACAUUCCAUGCUCGUGGAUGAGAAUAAUCAAUAUUGUUAAAAUGGCAAUAAUCCCCAAAGAGAUCCUAUCAAACUACCAAAUACAUUUUUCACAAAACUAGAAAAAAACUAUCUUAAAAUUCAUUUGAAACCAAAAAAGCCCAAAUAGCCAAAGAAUUCCUAAGUAAAAAGAACAAAGCUGGAGGCAUCACAGUACCCAAAUUCAAACUACACAAGGCUACCGUAACAAAGACAGCAUGGUACUGGUGCAAAACAGACACACAGACCAAUGUAACAGGUUAGAGAGCCCAGAAAAAAAGCUGCCCACCUACAUCCAUCUGAUCUUCAAUGGCGAGUGAGCAUUACUGCCUGAGCUCCACCUCAUGUAAGAUCAGUGGCAGCAUUAGAUUCUCAUUGGAGCUCGGACCCUAUUGUGAACUGUACAUGCAUGGUAUCUAAAUUGUGUGCUCCUUAUGAGACUCUAAUUCCUAAUGAUCUGAGGUGGAACAGUUUUAUCCUGAAACCAACCCUACCCCCUAUAAACCAUGGAAAAAUUGUCUUCCAUGAAAGCAGCCCCUGGUGCCAAAUAAGUUGAGGACCACCAACCUACAGAAUGAGAGAAUAUAUUUGCAAACUAUGCAUCAGACAAAGUUCUAAUAUUCAGAAUUUAUAAGGAAUUUAAACAACAUAGCAAGCAAAAACCAAAAAAUCCCAUUUAAAAAAUGGGCGAAGACAUGAAGUGUUACUUCAAAGGAAGACAUGCAUGUGGCCAACAAUCAUAUGAAAAAAUGCUCAACAUCAUUCAUCAUUAAAGGAAUGCAAAUAAAAACCACACCACACCAGUCAGAAUGGCUAUUACUAAAAAUAAAAAUAACAGAAGGUGGCAAGGUUGCAGAAAAAAGGGGACAUGUCUAUGCUGCUAGUCGAAAUGUAAAUUAGUUCAGCCCCUGUGGAAAGCAUUGUGGCAGUUUCUCAAAGAACUUAAAGCAGAACUACCAUCCAACUAAGCAAUCCUAUUAUUGGGUAUAUACCUCCCAAGACAUAAAUUAUUUUACCAUUAAUUUGCUUAGGAUAAUGGCCUCCUAAGACACAUGCAUGUGUAUGUUCAUCAUAGCACUACUCACAAUAGCAAAGACAUAGAAUCAACUUAGACGCCCAUCAAUUGUGAAGUGGAUUAAAAAAAUGUGGUACAUAUACACCAUGGAAUACUAACCAACAAUAAAAAAGAACAAAAUCAUCUCCUUUGCAGCAUCAUGGAUGGAACUGGAGGCCAUUAACCUAAGCAAAUUAAUGCAAGAACCAAAAACCAAAUACUGCAUGUUCUUACUUAUAAGUGGGAGCUAAACACUGAGUACACAUGGACAUGAGGAAGGGAACAAUAGACAUCAGGGCCUACUUGAAGGUGGAGGAUGGUAGGAGGGUAAGGAUCUAAAAACUACAAAUUGAGUACUAUACUCAUUACCUAGGUGACAAAAAAAAUCUGUAUACAAAACCCCCGUGACAUGAAAUUUACCAUGUAGCAAACCUGCACAUGUACCCCCGAACCUAAAAGUUGGGGAAAAAAAUAGAAAAAUUUGAAAAUCGUGAUAAUGAUGGGUAAAUCAGGAACAAUCCUCCUUAAAAACACUCAUGAGAGAGAAACAUUUAUGGUAAAACUGAUUAAGAAAACAAGAAACCUAAAUUAUUUUAGAGGGAUAACAAUGGGAAAGAGUUUCCAUACUGGAUAUCUAAAUUUUUUCAAUAUUAUUUAUUUAAAGUAGGAUGAUUUUGGUGUAAGAACAGAAGAGAGACUGUAAAUAAGUCCACACAUAUCAAGUAUCUUGAUUUAUGACAAAAAACAAAAUCUCUGCAAAUCAACAAGGAAAGAAUGUUCUUUACAAAAGAAUGGUGUGUGGUGCUCAGUCAAUUAAAUAUCCAUUAAAAAAUCCUGUGUCCAUUACCUCAAAUCAUACCUAAAAAUUAAUUUGAGAUGAAUUUUGAACUAAAUGUAAAGGUAAAACGAUUAGGAGCUAGAAGAAAGCCUAGUGCAACAAAACACACUCAUGACCUUGAGAUAGCAACAUUUAAAACAAAAAACAAACAACAGCAACAAAAAAACACGGGUAGUAUCAACCAUAAAGGGAAAACAGGCUGGGCGCGGUGGCUCACACCUGUGAUCCCAGCACUUUGGGAGGCCGAGGCGGGCGGAUCACGAGGUCAGGAGAUCAAGACCAUCCUGGCUAACGUGGUGAAACCCCGUCCCUACUAAAAAUACAAAAAUUAACUGGGCGUGGUGGUGGGUGCCUGUAGUCCCAGCUACUCGGGAGUCUGACGCAGGAGAAUGGCGUGAACCCAGGAGGCAGAGCUUGCAGUGAGCCCAGAUUGCGCCACUGCACUCCAGCCUGGGUGACAGAGUGAGACUCUGUCUCCAAAAAAAAAAAAGGAAAAGAAAAAAAGGAAAACAAAAAUUAAUUUCUGCUUAUCAAAUGAUAAUAAUAAGAAAGUGAGAAGGAAAGUCACCGACUUGCAGUAAAUGCACUUGAAUAAAAUAUAUUUAUAAAAUUAUCCAAUAUGCAAGUGAAAAUAUGUGCAACCUCAUUAGGCCUCAGGAAAUGCAAAGUAAAACCAGAAGGGGAUCGUCAUAUCAGAACAACUAUAAUUAAAAGACUAGUAAUUUCCAGUGUAUGCCAAGAAUGUAGACAUCUAGAAGUGUCAUAUUUCUGGAAGGAUUUUAAAUAGGUUCAGCCACUUAAAAAGUUAGCAGUAGCUAAAAAGUCAAACCUUCAUAUAACUUAUGAUCUUUAUAAUGCAUCAAUUAUGCUCUUGAGAUACUCAAGAUUAAUGAGUUAAUGUGUCCAUUAAAAGAUUCUACCAGCCUUAUUCAUAAUAAUUAAAAACUGAAAAUCAACCAAGUAUUCAUCAAAAUUAAUUAGAAGAAAUGAGAUACAAUAUUAUAUAACACUUACAAAGAAUUUUGUUUUUCUUGAGACAGAAUCUCGCUUUGUUGCUCAGAUUGGAGUGCAGUGGUGUGAUCUCAGCUCACUGCAACGUCUGCCUCUCAAGUUCAAACGAUUCUCCUGCCUCAGCCUCCUGAGUGGCUGGGAUUACAGGU